UACAUGGGAUCAAAUAAGCUGCCUUGACAUAGUUUUGAAACCUGAACGUCAUAUGUUUCUCAGGCUCCUAGAGCCCCAACCCGUCUUAAGUUGGCAGCCUCAGAUCCCUGCUAAAUGACCAUAUUCCUUCCCAAAGACAGUUCUCAGAUGGGCCUUUGUUGGUAAAGACACUCCACACAUGGGUACAGCCUCGAUAAAAUAUUUAUCCCCGCAGAGAAAGUAUAUCCAAACAUAAUGUAGUAAGAGAUUUCCCAAAUCCAAGGGCAUUAAAUAUUAAAACUCAGUUUUCUAGUUACACAUUAGCCUUAAAUACCAGAGUGCAACACAAAAUUAUCACAGAACGCAGGAAAAGGAGACGAGAAAGGCUGCAGAUGGGCAGCCAGGUGGGCCGGGGCACAGGGCAGGGCCCGAAAGGGUCCCCAGCCCAGGAGCUUCUGUCCCCGUGGAGUGGGGGGCACCACCCUCCCGGCACCGGGAACUGCUCUGGACCCGUAGUCCAGGCCUUCUUAUGGAGGCUCCAUCACAGACGUGAAGGAUGAUGGUGGAUGAUCCCUGGAGGAGGGUGGGUGCAGGGUUGAAGCUGCAGGUGCUAAUCCUGGCUGGUCUCUCUGGUGACCGGCCCCCCUCCAGGAGCCACCAAGCCUCACCUCAUUUGAACGAAAGAAUCUGCUGCCAUCACACAGGAAAUCUGAGGGCUUUUGGAGCCCUCUGCUGGGUCUCGGGAGCAGAGACCAGAUCUAUUCAUUUCUCAUUUCAUCACCCCAUCUUGCCAGGUAGAGACGGUGUCUGUGUCUGGGCUCCCAGGCUGGACCCCAGAGGCCUGCUGUAUAUGCGCCCGCUGGCGUUGCCAUCAUGGGGCACUCUCACGGGCGGCUUAAACAGCGGGAAAGGAGGAGGGAAGGCCGAGAUCAAGGUGCGGCCGGAGCUGGUUCCUCGGAGGGCACCCCGCGUGGCCGUAUGUGGUCAUCUUCUUGUCUGUGUCUCGGUGUCUAAAUGUGCCCAUCUUAUAUGGACACCAGCCAUGGGGUUUAGAGCCCACCCUGGGACCUCCUGUUAAACGGAUCACCUCUGCGAAGAUCCUGUCUCCAAAUAAGGUCACAUCCUGAGGCUGUGGGACUAGGACUCCAGCAUAAGAGUUUCAGGGGGACACAGUUCAAUCCAUGACACUUGCUUAACCAGAAGGUGGUGAGAAUUCUGAACAUUUAUAAUUUCACCAGGUGAAAGCCAGGAAGAUGGUUGAACUGUUGUUUAAAACAUCUCGGAAUAUAUACAUGAGCAGAAUGAGCAGAACAGAAUUUAAAGAUAGAGCUUCUUCCAGCGCAGAAAUGGCAGUUGCAUCAUACCCUGUUUAGCAUCAUGGCUUCCAGCUAACCACCCAUCCAUUCACUGGAAAAUAUUUUUGAAGCCUUGCUGUGUCAUUAGAGCAGAGCCUCGUUCUGAACUCCUGGUCCAGCGGGUCCCGCUGCUGAGGCUGCUGCAGCUCACGGUGCACUUGGACAGCAGCAGCACUCUCUCCUCUGAGGCCUCUCUCUUCAACGUUUUGCCCCCAAUAGAGAACCUGAGAAGACAGAGGACAAGUUUUCCUCUGACAUGAGGAUGUGUGAGUGACUGUCGUAGCUCUUUAACAGCAGCGUCUACUUCUCCUGUGCUGAGGUGUGCAGAGAGAGAGGGCGGCCUGCAGGAAGGGGUGCAGGUGCAGGUACUGCAGGGUGCGGCAGGGCAGAAGAAGCCUGCCCUCUGAAAUGCAGGCCCUGGAGAGCCAGAAAAUCCCGGAGUCCCAUGGAGGAAGGAUGCAUCCUCUUGAGAUGGCUGCGGACCCCCUGCUGGGGAAGUGAGACCCACGGACCUCUCUUCAGCCCUGGUCUCACCCGGAGCCCUCCCAGUUUAUCCACAGUCACGGGGCCAUCCGCAAGUCCAUCCUGCCCAUCUUAAUUUUCCUUAAAAGCUGCAUUGCCUUCUAACUUCAAAUCAUUAGCAUAGAGUUGUGCAAAACGUUAUCCGAGGAUCUGAGGAUCAAGCACUUUAAUUCUCUCUGUCUGUGGUCAGUCUCACGUUCCCAGUCCUAAUUUUGUGCAUUGACAUUUUCUUUGAUUUGUUUUUCUUGCUUUAAUUAUCAGGUGGUUUAGCA